UAAAUAAAUUUUUUAUGUUUUAGAAAUUUUAUUAUAAAUUUAUUUUACAUAUAAAUUUUAGUAUAAAAUUUUAAUUAUUUAAAUAAUAAUUAAUUAAUUAUGGUAGUAAUUAGUAUUAAAAAUUUAAGAAAUUAAGAUUUAGUAAUAUGAAAAUUAAUAACUAAUUUUGUGCCAGCAGUUGCGGUUAUACAAAGAUUAAAUUAAAUUAUUUCAGUUUAUAAUAAGUAAUUUUAAAUUAAAGUAAAUAUUAAAUUAUUAAGUGAAAUUUUAAUUUAAUUAAAUUUUAUAUUUAAAUUAUGAUUUAAUAAAUUUUAAUAUAAACUAGGAUUAGAUACCCUAUUAUUAAAAAAAUUAAAUUAUAAUACUAAAAUAGUAAAUAAUUAUUUAUUGAAACUUGAAUAAUAUGGCGGUAUUUUAGUUCAUUUAGAGGAAUCUGUUAAGUAAUUGAUAAUCCACGAAUAAAUUUACUUAAUUUUAAAUUUUGUAUAUCAUUGUUAAAAAAAUAUUUUUAAAUAAAAAUAAUAUUUAAAAUUUUAAAAAUAAAAUUAGUUCAGAUCAAGAUGCAGAUUAUAAUUAAGAUUAUAAUGGAUUACAAUAAAAUUAUUUAAAUGAAUAAUAGUAUUGAAAUUUAUAUUUGAAAGUGGAUUUAAAUGUAAUUUUAAUUAGUUUAUUAAAAUGAUUAAAAAUUAGAAUAUGUACAUAUUGCCCGUCACUUUCAUUUUAAAAUUGAAAUAAGUCGUAACAAAGUAGAUGUACUGGAAAGUGUAUCUAGAAAGAA
rnacentral:ncRNA from 1 species